CGCUGCAGUCUUUUUAUAAAAUCAAGAUACCGAAGAACCUUCACAGGGAUUUUUAGCUGCCGCUUCUGACCAUGCUUAUCGACCACCUCAAUAUACUGAGAGGAACCGCACUUCCUACAGUAGUUGUCAUCCGCAUACUCAUGCCUAAACAAAAGGCAAUUCUUUGGACAAACAUGUAUUUUCUCAUAGUCCAUGGAGAGCGCCGUCAUGAUUUUCUUCGUACCGUACAUGGUUUUCGGCAGUUCAUGGCCCUCGGGCAGGCUGUUAGCCCAUACUCCCAGAAAUGCUUCGAAGCAACCUCGGCUACAGCCGUACUCAGCCUUCACUGCCAUCAGUUGCGAGAUGGCAUCCAGCAUAGACAGCUUGGCACCCUCAUAGAGAGGUUUCUUUGACGAGGCCAAGAUUUCCAGGAAGGCCUUUGCGGUUUCCUCCGGCUCCUCCGGUUCAUUCGCUGAAUGUGACGGAGGUGUCGGCUGUGCAGCAAAGACAUCAUCUAGCAUGUCUCUAACCCCAUCGUCCUCAUAACCAGCGACGCGUUGUCGUAUCACAUCCUCUCUACCACGGUCCCGCUGGGCAAAGUUUAUCGGCAUAUUAAAGUUGGGCAUAAAUCCAUGCGUGCGAAGGUGCUUAGUCAUCUCACUCUUAUCUCUGCGGAUACGUCUCCCACAUCUGGCACACGGGCAUUCUGGCACCAUCCUCAUUGGACUACGGAAUAUAUCUUUCAAAAACACAUCAGUUUUCUCGACCCACUCUGUUGUUACUUGAUUCCGACGGAUAAACCCACUAUACAUCCACUGAUUAUCUGCCAUCUC
rnacentral:rRNA from 1 species